AAAAAAUAUAUAUAUAAAAGUAAAAAAAAAAAAAUAAUGUCAACGCCAAUUUUGUAAAUUUAUGUUUGUUUCUACAUUAUGGGUCAAAAUAUUCAGUAAAAAAUACUGUAAUUUUAUUGGUAUAAUGCAGUAACAAGAAGUACAUUAGGGAUCGACCGAUUCGGCUUCGGCCAGUUUCGGUCAAAAAAUCUCAUUGGUGACAUAAAAAAGAAAGUUUUUUGUUUAUAAAAAAUAUAUAUAUUUGUGUUUGUUUCUGCCGAAACAGAGGUCGGGGCCGAAAGUUCGGUUUUAUUUUCGGUCGAACUCUAAAAAAAACACAAAAGUACAAAUGAUCGGUUUUGUGUUUGUAUUUCUUUACAUUGUUGAGACCGCGUACAUACUAAAAAUCAACGAUGCUCUCAACUAUCAAACGUUGAAUGAUUUCUGCAAGAAGUUCCGGGUGCUAGUAGACGAGAUGUCGGCUUACUUCAAGCCGUGCCGGUUCCCCAUAGACCUGGUCUCCAAGUUCUGCUCCGAGAGUGGAAUGGCGACGGGUUUGAACCCUAAACCAGAAUCACAAUGCAAUAAUAAAGUGGUUGAAAAUUA